rnacentral:lncRNA from 1 species
CACUCCAGGCUAGGUGAUAAGAGCCAGAACUUGUCUCAAAAAAAGAAAAGAAAUGAAGGCUCACUGCUUCCCCUGCACACUUUACUUGGUUGAAACAAAUAAAAAUAAUAGAAUUCAAAUAACCUCAAAUCAUGGAAAAAAAUAUUAUCAGAACUAACCUCUAGUUCUUGGUUACAUUUUUAGAAUGUGGUAAAUGGGUAUUAAAUGAAAUUCUAACCUUAAAUAACCAACUAUAUCUUAAUAAUUAUCAAGAAAAAGUACUUUUUUUUUUUUUUCAGAGCCAGGGUCUCCCUGUGUCACCCAGGCUGGGGUGCAGUGAUGCCAUUCUAACUCACUACAGCUUCGAAUUCCUGGGCUAAGACGAUCCUCCCAGCUGAUGUGGCUGGACUGGGGGGCCACACUUAAUGAACCAUGGCUGUAAGAAGUGAUCCUGAAAGUGAUCCUGAAAGCAGAAAUGAAGGGACUUCUGUACAGUCUUACAGUGAACAAUCUGAUUCGUGUCAGUCUCCCCAUGAGAUUCUCAAGUCUAUGAGUGACAAAGUCUCACUAUGCUGCUCAGACUGAUAUCAAACUCCUACGCUCAAGCAAUCCUCUCGCCUCCACUUCCCAAAGUGCUGAGAUUACAGGCGUGAGUGAGCCACCUGGCCAGGCCCUACAGGUCUAAACAUCUCAUUCUUUCGCAAUCCAGAUACCAACAGGAGUCUGAAACCCUUCGCAGAGGCGUGCAACACACUAGGAGAGCGCUAUCUGUUUACAAAUACGAAUCUCAGUUACCCACGUCAAAACCGCGCAUUACCACCUUUCGACUGGGGGGCGGGGGAGAGAGAAGGCGGGCGAGCAAGAAACAAAAUCCACACAGACACCUCUGCCUUCUCCCUACAAGGACGAGCCCGGGGAAACAUUCAGUAUGUAUUAUAUGCGUGUAUACAUUUAUAUACAUUAUGUAGUCACCUAUGUCUAAGCAAGGGUGAAAGAAAAAGGUACACAUGACAGGGAAUCGUAACUGGACCCAACAGAAAUGUUCAAACCAAUCCCGUUAACUCAAAAUCCGCCCCGCUGGUCUACAACAGGUUUCGGUCCGGGACCGGGAGCCCCAGCCACAGUGUGGAGUUCGUCCCCAAAGCGCCCCAAUGCCCUCCUCAGGCCGCCCAGGCCGC